rnacentral:rRNA from 1 species
GACGAACGCUGGCGGCGUGCUUAACACAUGCAAGUCGAACGGAAAGGCCCUGCUUUUGUUGGGUGCUCGAGUGGCGCACGGGUGAGUAACACGUGAGUAACCUCCCCUUGACUUUGGGAUAACUUCAGGAAACUGGGGCUAAUACCGGGUAGGAGCUCCUGCUGCAUGGUGGGGGUUGGAAAGUUUCGGCGGUUGGGGAUGGACUCGCGGCUUAUCAGCUUGUUGGUGGGGUAGUGGCUUACCAAGGCUUUGACGGGUAGCCGGCAUGAGAGGGUGACCGGGGACAUGGGGACUGAGAGACGGCCCAGACUCCUACGGGAGGCAGCAGUGGGGAAUAUUGCACAAUGGGCGGAAGCGUGAUGCAGCAAUGCCGCGUGCGGGAUGACGGCCUUCGGGUGGUAAACCGCUGUCGCCUGUGACGAAGCGUGAGUGACGGUAAUGGGUAAAGAAGCACCGGCUAACUACGUG